rnacentral:pre_miRNA from 1 species
GUUCUACUCCCUCCGUUCGGAAUUACUUGUCGUAGAAAUGGAUGUAUCUAGACAUAUUUUAGUUCUAGAUACAUCCAUAUUCGAGACAAGUAAUUCCAAACGGAGGGAGUAGUCA